ACGGGGGGUGCAAGCGUUACCCGGAUUCACUGGGUUUAAAGGGUGCGUAGGUGGGCAGGUAAGUCAGUGGUGAAAUCUCCGGGCUUAACCCGGAAACUGCCGUUGAUACUAUUUGUCUUGAAUAUUGUGGAGGUAAGCGGAAUAUGUCAUGUAGCGGUGAAAUGCUUAGAUAUGGCACAGAACACCAAUUGCGAAGGCAGCUUACUAAGGCGAUACUGACGCUGAGGCACGAAAGCGUGGGGAUCGAACAGGA
rnacentral:rRNA from 1 species